UUUGUCUACCAUAUUUAAUUACCAAAAUUGCAAAAACAACUUCCCACUACCUUUUCUCCUCUUUCCUCAUUAACAAAAAUCUCUCGAACCCACUCUCCUCAUCAUACGUAUCUAUUCUCCCUCUGUUCCUCUUCCACAAAUUAUCACCCCAAAAACUCCAACUGCCUCCCUCAUCCUCCCUAAACUCCCUCUAUAUCACCCUAACUAACACCCUCGACAUCCACUCUCUCCUGCACCGUCCCACUCGCCGCAGCUCAAAACCCUACUACACCCCAUUAACGCACUUACAUCGCAGCAGAAGUUUUUCUCCUCCGUAUCACCACCAUCUACCAUGGCGGCACCAGCUCCGGCUAUUUCAUCUCCGCCGACUCCGUCUCCGAUUCCGACCCAACACUUUCUUCUUGCUCAAAUUAGAACCUCUUCUCUUUUCUCUCUCAUUUUCACACUUACAACUUACAUUGAAAGUAGUGCACACACCCUCCAUCUCUUUUUCCAACUACGACGAUGAUAUGAGCGGAUUCGACGGAUCGGAUGCGUAGAAACGAGAACCGGAUAUUAACAAGAGAAGUUAUCUCUGGAAGUCGUUGAGGUAUGCAGAUGAGUACAUACAUUUGAUGAGAAGCUAUAUAAAUUUGUUGAGGUAUGCAUCGAGUGAAUUGGAAAAACCUGAAGAAAACAAAAAUCAUUUUUUUAUUUGUGUUCUGGUUGCAGAGAAUGGUCAAUUUUCAGUUCCUAUGAGAGGUUAGUGUAUGAGGAUUAUGAUGAAAUACAUAUUGGUGAUUUUAAUCGCAUUCCUUUUUGCAUUGUGACUAUAUAUUCUUCAAAUUAUUAAAUUGUUUAGAACUAAUUAUUUUUUCAUUUUGGAACUAUUGUAUGGUUAUGCAAACUAUGUUGCUCCCUGAGCUUCUACCCGAGACUUUUUGACUUUGUAAAGUGGUCUGAUAUUAAAUUUGAUUGUAACUUUGUGAAGUGGUCUCAUAUUAUUUUUAUUUGAUUGUGACUUUGUGAAGUGGUCUGAUAUUAGUAUCAGGUACGAGUCAUUCUCUUUGAUCAAAGCUACUUUGCAUUCUAAGUGUAUGAUAAAAGGAUCGCUUGAAUUUAGUUGAGGUUUGUUGAUGGCUAGUCCCAUUCAUAUUUUCUUCUCUAUAUUUGUUUAACUUUUGGCAUCAAUUAAUAUAUUUGUUAUAGAUUGUUUUGAUUUUUUUAAAAUGGAGAGUUUUAAUAUGAUGACAAGUGAUAGUUUUUCUUUUAUUUGCAAUGAGAUUUCAGUGCUAAUGUAUAUGCCAUAUUAUUAGGAAAAAAAAAUAGUUGAACUUAAGAUUGUUGUAUACUCCAAUUUUAAGUUUUAAUAUAUGAGAUUUCAUGUUGUUAACACAUGCCUUAUUUGCUGCUUCCUAUUGGCUUUUAUUUAUUUCCAUGAUCAAUGUGUGUGUCUGAGGGAAAACAAAGAUUAAUUGAAUCUUUUUUCUUAUUGGGACUGUAUAGUUUUUAUAGGUGGUGUGGAGUUGUGAUAUCAAAGGCUUUUAAAACUAAGGUCACUUUCCCAAAGACUAAAGAUUUCCAAAACUUUUCACUUUGUAAGGCCGAAAAUACUGUGUGGUUCUUCCAGUUUGUGCAUUGCAGGGAGGAGAUGAAGGUUAUUUCAAUGCCAGUCACACAACUGGCAGCUUGGCCGCGCACCACCCACACCGCAAUACAUGGCUGAGAAAGAGAUUAAAGAUGAGAAUUAAGUCAUUGACAGGACCAAGGUUGUUAAAAUCGCGAUCUAACACCCAAGAUCGUACGAUCUUGCAAUUCCGAUGGCCAUCACCGAUCUGCAGCGGUUAGGAGAUCGGAAACGACAGCGGAGCGGACGAUUCGCCGAGGAAAAUCGAAAGAUCGCAGAAUCGACGCUCUUCUGCGUUUUCUGCAAUGGUUUUUGACCCGGUUCAGAGGUUGAUGACCAUUCCCGGGUUUGACCCAAACGUGUUUUGUGCCUUUUUUUUUUGUGCAAGCUUUUUCAUUUCUUAUUCCCUGAAACUGUUGAUUUCAUUAAACCCAUUAAUUAUUUAGUCAAAAUAAUAACUCAGUUUGUUAUAGAAAUCAUCUCAAUAAACCCACUAAGCAAUAAUUGUGGAAACUUAUUAAUACACC